rnacentral:tRNA from 1 species
GCACAGUGGUGCAGUUGGUAGCACUGUUGCCUUACAGGAAAAAGGUAAGAAGGUCCCAGGUUCAAAUCCCAGUCUGGACA